AGCAGCCGCGGUAAUUCCAGCUCCAAUAGCGUAUAUUAAAGUUGUUGCAGUUAAAAGCUCGUAGUUGAAUUUCGGGGUCUGUCCGUCGGUCGGGCUUCACGGUCCGUACUGGUGUGAUGGGUUCCUACCUUCUGAAUAGCCGGCAUGCCAUUCAUUUGGUGCGCCGGGGAAGCAGAGCUAUUACCUUGAAAAAUUGAGUGCUUAAAGCAGGCUAGUGCUUGAAUAGAUUAGCAUGGAAUAAUAAAAUAGGACGGCAUGGUUCUAUUUUGUUGGUUUCUAGGAUCACCGUAAUGAUUAAUAGGGAUAGUUGGGGGCAUUAGUAUUCAAUUGUCAGAGGUGAAAUUCUUGGAUUUUAUUGAGGUACUAACUUCUG
rnacentral:misc_RNA from 1 species